rnacentral:tRNA from 1 species
GCCUUCGUGGUGUAGUGGUCAGCACGCUGGAUCCGUAUGCGAGAGGUCCGUGGUUCGAUUCCUGGCAAAGGCG